UACAGUGUACAACCAGCACACGAUCGUAAUUUGCAGAGCUCACCUCCGUCGUUCUCUUUAGCUUCACUGGUUAGUUCUUAAUAAACCCUAGAAUUGAAAUUUUCACUUUGUCAAUUUCGUUCUGUUUUUCUUUUUCCUCCCUGGUUUACCAGACUCUGAUCUGCUGUCUUGUCUCCGGUUAGAUAUCACUAAUUUGGAAGGCGAGAAUAGCGUUUAGUAUUAUUUCUCAAACGUACCAAGUUUAUAUUUUGUGCUCUUUUAUUGGAAAUUCUCAAUUCUCUUAAUCAGAUAGGUAAGUGUUAGUAAUAACAUUUUAUUGUUUUGUUUCUCGAUUUAAAAACUAUUAUCUUUGUAUUUGUUUAUUUAUUAUCCAAUCCAGUUAUUAUCGAAACUGUGUGAAGACUGAACGUAAGCACUAUGUAAAUUUCGGUUACAUAACAAAGCAAUCUUUUAGCUGUCCGAAUGUAUGAAUUUCUAUGAUUUAUCUGGAUUCUAGUGGGAAAUAGAAUGGAUCCUUGUGUUUUCAUAGCAUUUGAAGGACCCUAUAUCUUCUGAAGUAAGGCAUGAAGAUGGAUGGAAUGCAAAGAAAUGGUAAAAGGGGUGUAUCGAAUUGAUCUCUUAAGACGAUAUUGCUACUUUUCUCUACCAUAUUUUGUGUGCUGAUCUCCAUUUUUAUAAUUGUUCCUGUCUCGAGACUCUAUGUGGCCAGUAACUUUUUUCUCAGCUGUCCAAAAUUGUGCCAUAUGCAAUAAAUUCUAAACAAAUUUAGGCUUAUCCGGUAGAGAAUGGAGCUAUUGCCCAGUUUAUUUUCAUUAUAUCAGGUAGGCUUGAUAUUCUAGAAAGGAUUAAAUAGCCACUAUUUGUAUUGCAUUCUGAAUCAACAUCCUCAAGUAUCAUAUUGUAUUUGUGAUAAGCGUAUUAUAUAUUUAUUGAGGACAUCAUGUAGUCUCAACUGCCUUUCGUGGUAAAUAUUUUUUCUAAAUUUUAACUGCACUUGAAUGUGAAAUGGAUGAGUUUGAUCCUAUGGGAUUGAAGUAUUUGUACCUUACCCAUUCAUCAUGCUUUGCAAGUUUAGUUGCCAUUGAUUCAUUGCCCAUAGAGCCCCUCUGUCCAAGGUAUUUUACAAUGUGUGUGGUUCUGAAAAUGUAUCUAGCAUCUACAAAUACCUGUUGCAUCCUAAAUCAAUAAGUUAUCCUAUAAUGGUUCUCCAUUAGUUUGUAGUGCUUAGUGUGAAACUGGUUCAUGCAGGCACUGUAGGUUUUGAACUCAAAUUUAUUUGGUUCCUUCAAGGUCUUACAAAGCUGGGCAGCAUCAAGGAGGAUCCCUCACCGAAAAGCGGGCAUGCAUGGAUUUGAAAUGAAGGUGUUGCAGGAUACGAAGGAUUCAGCGAAAAUAAAAUUCUCAACACAAACGUCACAUGAGUCACCAAGUGACCUGCAAAAUAAUGCACCUGAGGCUCUUGGGGUGGACCCUGGUUCAGUUUCUGUUUCAAGCAACAACAGCAGAAAAGUUACCCGUGAAGAUAUUGAAGUUGUCCAGAAUCUGAUUGAAAGAUGUCUUCAACUGUAUAUGAAUAGGAAUGAGGUGGUAAAUACCCUUUUGCAACAAGCCAGAAUUGAGCCUGGUUUUACAACCUUAGGUGAGCCUCUUGACACCUUCAGAAAAGUAUGUUUUACUCUCUCUAUAUGAAUGACCUUUAUAUACAUGAUCAUCAAAGCAGACUUUGCUGAGAAAGAAUUUCAUUUUAUUCCUUCUUCAUCUCAGUCACUGUAUCAUGUUUGGAAGCUAAGUGUCAAUAGGAACCAUAAAUAUUAGUACAUAUUAAAUUUUGUUUAUCAAAUAGAGUUGGUAUCUUUCUUCUUCUUCUACAUCCUCCUCUUCUUUAAUUCAGUAUGGCAGAAAUUGGAAGAAGAAAAUGUAGACUUUUUUAAGGCCUACUGCAUGAGGCUAGCUCUGAAGAGACAAAUUAUUAUAUUCAAUCAAUUACUUGAGCACCAGUACCAGCUGAUGAAGAUGAAGUCCCCUGUAUCUCCAAAGGUUCCAUUAGCUUCUAUUGAGAAUGGGAUUCAGCGCUUGCCAGGUAUGUUGUUCCUGUAAUAGUAGAAAUUCAAAACAUAAUAAAGUUAAAAAUACAUGCCGGUAUGCAAUCAACUUGCUAAGACUACUGUCCAAGUUCAAUAUUAGGAUUUAGGUCACAUUCACAUAGCACUCUUAUAUAUGUGUCUGUGUAUAAAUAAGACAAAAUUUGUACCCUUCCCUUGUGUUUUUUCCCCUACCAGGUGGUAGUUAAUUGAUAAUUUGUCAGCCUUUUGUAACCAGCCCUCAGUUGCUAUUGUCAUUUAAGUUUAGUGAACAUAUCUUUCAUCUUCUUUCUUUUCUGGGUUUGUGUGGCAAUGGACUGGAUUGUAUAGAUUCUAACCACAGACAAGUCCGUGGGCAAUUUUUUUUUUUUUUUUGGAUAUUUGAUAUGAACCCCCCUACUUUGGGAUUAAAGCUUUGUUGCUGUUGUUAUCAUAUUCGAUAUGACACAAAUUUUUAAGGUUUGGAGCUGUUCAUAAACAAUAACAAAGAGAUUGUGUUUGCCAACAGUACACAGGCCAUAGUUUUGAAACAAUUUGUUCUUUGAUUAUGGUGCCCAUCAAUCUAUAGCCUUCAACAAGCCUGCCUAUUAGUAUUGCUAAAUUUAGAUUUUCAUAUUCUUUAUGAUGUUUUGGCAUUUUCAUUGGACUGAAUACUAAAAAAUCAUUUAUCAAAAAUAGAACUAAGUUAUAUUGAACAAUUAAUCUGAGAAAUUUGAAAUAAUUUGAAUGCGAGGGUAGGUCUUGCAUUUAAAUUAUGAGCAAUUGAGAUUGACAAAUAUAUUUCAUCAGAUAUUAGAUACAUGCGAUUUGCAUACACAAAUAGCCUUGGUUUAUUGCUUCAUCUCAUGUUUUAUUUCCAUACCUCGUAAGUGAUGAUUCUCCUGUCUCCCACAUAUAAGAUAUAAUAAGAAACUUCUUUUGAAGUAUGUUCCAUAUGGGAUCUUAUCCACAUAUGGAAAAGCAUAACCUGUCUUGAGAGAUAACAUAAGUUGUCCCAUUCGAUAUCUUUGGAUCCAAAAGUGAUUUCAAUUCAUAUGCAAUGAAUUAAUUACAAAUAACCAAGUUUUCCUUCCUAAAUAUUAUUCAACAGCAAUACAGCAUAGUUAGAAUGAAAGACAUUGUUAACUGAAGAGCUCUGCUUUGUUUAUGGCAUUGAUUUAAAUUGUUUAGUGCAGUGGCAGUAAUGCCAUAUGUGCACCUUAUGCAUUCAAUUCCAAUUUUCCAAUGAUGGAACAUACAACCAUUCAUUAUAAUUUCUGAAUUCUGCCAUUAACACAUAAUUCAUAAAUAGGAAAUUCUAUUUCAGAUUUUCAUGGCUAUGCAAAACCUUCACGCCUUUUAGAAGCCACAGAACCAAAAUUUUGCACAGAAACCUUACAAGGGAAGGAUUUUACAUCUUUUGGUGUUGUUAGAUCUCAGUCUUUAUUUAAGAUGAAGAUACAGACAAGUAAUGCAUAUGGCUCAAGUAUGAGUGAUCUGAAUGCUGGAAUACUCUUAUGCUUGGUAGACACAAAUGGUGACUCUAUAUUGCAGAGAAUUCCCGUGAUUUUGAAAUCGGAUUCUACAGAACCCAUGGAUGAGGUUGAGUGCAGCAUACUUCAUUUCCAAAGAGGUUCAAUUGAUGAAUUCACUUUCGAGGGACCAAAAUUGGAGAGAAUUGAAGCUCUUUGGGUCGGCAUUGAAUCAGGUUUGUCUCUUCUAGAUGUAGGUUGUUCUGAUGGCCUAUAGGCAUAGUAAUUGUACUUUCUGCACCAGAAUUGUGGAGGAUAUUUGUUGGGGCGCCCAUUCACAUAUGGCUUAAAGACGUCAGAAAUAUGCUGAUGCCUGCCUUAUAAUUAAGUAAAACACACAAGUCAUGACUAAAUCUUUUUCACAUAAUCUCCACAAUGUACUAAUUAAAUUGAUUUAGGUUUUUGAGAUAUCAUUGUAGGAAACGCUCUUAUAUCUGUUAUGUUUGACUUGAGUAUUGUAACAAUGGGUUUUAGUUUCCUCUUUGAUUUGAAUUUCUAAGUCAGGUCAGUGGAGAUUAGACAGUGUUAGCCUGACAGUCAUUAGUGCUUGUGUACCUUCACUGGAGCAAGAUGAUGGAGAACAGACUCAGUUUACUGGUUUCCAUUAUGAAUUUGAAGUAGACGAUGUCUUGCUUGGAGAGAAGAGUGAAAGAUCCGUGAUGGAACUAAGACCUAGCACAAUUUCAGAAUUAUCUGGGAUUGACCCAUUCAACUUGUUGAGUAAAAGCCUUUCAAAUUCAGCAUCAGGGUCAGGUGGCAGGAUUUCUAAUGAAGAAACUAUGAGAGAGUAUGCAGAUUUGAAGUUAUCUUUGCUGUCAUAUGAUGCUGCUUUAAUUUUUGGUGGUUCAGUAAUAGCAAAUUUCUCAGCUGGAGAAAAUGAAGCUUUCGCAUUCUUUAUUGGUGGAACAGUGGGCUUCUUAUAUUUGUUGUUGUUGCAAAGAUCCGUUGAUGGAAUACCUGCUUCGCCGCCGAUUUCCCGGAAUACAGGAAGGAUUGAUCAGUUAUUUAGAGGGUUUAAGGGGCCAGUAUCAGGCUUGGCAUUGGCGUUAGGAUUCACCUUUCUGGCAGUGAAAUAUAGCUUUGGAGAUUCUCCCAUGGUGUUGACCCCAAAAGAACUUUUGUUUGGAAUGAUGGGAUUUCUUGCAUGUAAAGUUGCAGUGGUUUUAGCAGCAUUUAAGCCAAUGUCCAUGGGUUUGAAGGAGAAUGAAUGAUACUUAUCAUUCGUUUUAUUUUCUUCUUCUGUAGAGAAUUGAAAGAUUUAGAUAUGGCAUGGAAUACAACAGGAAACAUUCCAUUAUGUAUAUACGUGUAUAUAAGAAACAUGAGAAAUUCUUAGGUGGGCUUGUUCUAUCAGAUUAUUUGUAGACUAAAUCAGUCAAAUUAUUUUAUGGUAAUAUAAUCAUAGAUAAAUAUG
rnacentral:misc_RNA from 1 species